rnacentral:piRNA from 1 species
UGAGAAAUUUGACUUGGUUGAGAAACUUC